AGGACGAACGCUGGCGGCGUGCUUAACACAUGCAAGUCGAGCGGUAAGGCCUUUCGGGGUACACGAGCGGCGAACGGGUGAGUAACACGUGGGUGAUCUGCCCUGCACUUCGGGAUAAGCCUGGGAAACUGGGUCUAAUACCGGAUAUGACCUCCUAUCGCAUGGUGGGUGGUGGAAAGAUUUAUCGGUGCAGGAUGGGCCCGCGGCCUAUCAGCUUGUUGGUGGGGUAAUGGCCUACCAAGGCGACGACGGGUAGCCGACCUGAGAGGGUGACCGGCCACGACUGGGACUGAGACACGGCCCAGACUCCUACGGGAGGCAGCAGUGGGGAAUAUUGCACAAUGGGCGAAAGCCUGAUGCAGCGACGCCGCGUGAGGAUGACGGCCUUCGGGUUGUAAACCUCUUUCAGCAGGACGAAGCGCGAGUGACGGUACCUGCAGGAACGAAGCACCGGCUAACCGUACGUGCCGAGCACGCCGAC
rnacentral:rRNA from 1 species